ensembl:lncRNA
AUGUAUGCACAUCAUGUUCUGGAACAUUUAACUAAAGCAUUUUUUUCUUCUUUUCUUUCAGUUGAGGAGGUUAAGACCAGGGCUUUAUCCUUGAGAACACAGUUCUCAAUGUUAAUUAAACCCAAACCUAGUGGGAGUGGGAACAAACCCCUGACACCUAGGCAGAGGUGGCUUCUCAGGGUUAUGGAUUUUAUUUUAAAAAAAAAACAUAUUGUUCAACGUCCAUGUGAGACCACUUUUCAUUUGCCACCCAGUGACCAGGAUAACACAGAAGACCUAGACGACUAUGAUCUUGAUUAUAGUACAGAUUCCCUCAAUGAGUUGCAGACCCCACUGUCUAGACCUAAUACACCAACACCUACAUCACAUACCUCCUCCCCUGUUGAAUGUUUAGAUUCCCCAUCAACUUCCAGCAGAAAUGCAGGGGUGGAGUCGAGCACAAGGGGAAUAAAACACAAGGCCAAAGCAGUAUCUGAUGUUGAGCUGCAGAAGCUAGCUGUUUUGACGGAAAUGGCAGCAAAAGUUGAGGUCGACCCAACACUGGAUGCAUUCACCACUUUUGGAAACCAGAAACAAACCACAAACAUUUGCUUGACCAUCCGCAACAGCAGCACAUUGAAAAGGUGAAAUAUGAGCCAGACAUUCUUGACAGAUUUCCUGAGAUUCAUUGAUUCAGAGCAGACUAAUAAUCAUCUGUCAGACCACUCAGAAACUCAUCUGACAACCUACAAAAGGUCUUUCCACCUCCAUCACACCAGUGACCAGAUGAAUAAUGCAUCUGACCUCUCAGAGAGUAAAUAUAAUAUUUAAUUGAAAGAUCUUGAACGGUCACAUUAGGUAAGUGCUGCUUCCUCCACCAGACAGCGCCAUCUAUCAGCCACAACAUCCAACAUCAGGUUAAAACAGGAAUUCUAAAAAAAAAAUAGAUAAAACGAGAAUAAAAAAGGAACACUUCACCA